AGUGAACGCUGGCGGUAGGCCUAACACAUGCAAGUCGAACGGCAGCACAGGAGAGCUUGCUCUCUGGGUGGCGAGUGGCGGACGGGUGAGGAAUACAUCGGAAUCUACUUUUUCGUGGGGGAUAACGUAGGGAAACUUACGCUAAUACCGCAUACGACCUACGGGUGAAAGCAGGGGAUCUUCGGACCUUGCGCGAUUGAAUGAGCCGAUGUCGGAUUAGCUAGUUGGCGGGGUAAAGGCCCACCAAGGCGACGAUCCGUAGCUGGUCUGAGAGGAUGAUCAGCCACACUGGAACUGAGACACGGUCCAGACUCCUACGGGAGGCAGCAGUGGGGAAUAUUGGACAAUGGGCGCAAGCCUGAUCCAGCCAUACCGCGUGGGUGAAGAAGGCCUUCGGGUUGUAAAGCCCUUUUGUUGGGAAAGAAAUCCAGCUGGUUAAUACCCGGUUGGGAUGACAGUACCCAAAGAAUAAGCACCGGCU
rnacentral:rRNA from 1 species